AGACGUUGGUACAGGUUUUUCGCAAUUUUGAGAGUUUAAUUUUUAUGGUACAGGUGUUUUUUAGUGGUAGAGGAUUUGCAACAUAUUGGAGGGACAAAUAAGACAAUUUAAAUUCUUUUCUUCAAAUUAGCUGAUGAUAUACUUACACAAUUAUUGCAGUUAUUAAUAAUGUUUCUUUAUUUCUCGAACCUCCAAAUAGUCUGAUUAGUAAAAAUCCUUAACGAAAAGAGCUUUUGAGAGAGCUAUUUCGCGCAGUAUUGCAUAAAUAAGCAAUUGGUAAUUGCUUAGCUUUUCGUUGCAAAAUAGGCGUAAACUGUAAAUUUUAAUAAUUUGACCGUUUUUUUUGGCUGAAAACAUUGGAAGAUUAGAAUAUGAAAUAACACAUGGUCGAGCAGGAUAUAGGCAAGCGCUUCAGGGAGAGCAAGGAUACCAAAAUAACGUUAUUCUAACUCCUCCGCGACUCCUCGCAAUAUCCAUUGUAUUCCAAUGAUUAAAACACAAUAUGUGUCGCCGCUCACCGCUAGACUUUAAUAGCGAUAUGCCACUUCUCCGUACGUUAAUGCCUGCAUAUGUUACGGCACUUGUGGAAUAUUUAUUGGGUAAAAAGCGUGAAAUGGAUACUAACGUGGAAAGAUCGAAUCUGUUUCUAAGGCUUUUCAAGUUGGUAUUCGGCAGCGUUACUUUAUUUCCUGCCGAAAAUGAACAAAUUCUGCGCCCUCGUUUGCACAACAUUGUUAAUCAAUCGAUGGAAUUGGCUUUUACAAUUGAGAGCCUUAUUCUGUUCAAUUGAUUGAGGUUCUCAUGAUUUAUUAUACCAGGUAUAUUUGCCAUUGCUGCCUAAUUUACUGUAGGGUUUGAAUGGCCUGCAAAGCGGUUUCCAUAAACAACACAUGAAAGAUUUAUUGUGUUUAACAGUACCAGUGCGUGUGUCGUCUUUGUUCCCUUAUUUACCGCUGCUUAUGGAUCCUUCGGUUUCGUCUUGAAACGGUUCGAAUACUUUAAAAACUGAGGGUUUACAACAUUGGAAUUAUGUAUUGAUAAUUUACAACCGGCCUUAUACAACCCUUACGUGCUACUCUUAUGCAAGCCUCUGGAAGACUUUACGCAAACCUCACAGUGGCACUGGACUAUGGCCCGUGUAGUGGCUUCCAUAUGUUACUUAUACCAUAUUACAAGUUGUGUUGAAUGGAAAGACAGACUAUAAAAUUUUCGUCAGCGAUACUUAACCAUAACGUCGACUUGUAAUUGGAAUAUUUUCCAUAAGCUAUUACUACUAUUAUAUUAGCUGAUGCAUUUUCAUAGCCUACGUUGUGUGUAUAUUAACAUAUGCUAAGAUAUGAAAUAUGUAAACGAAAUUAAGAUAGCCGUGUCUAUGAUUAUACCAUUCGAUUUUCUGAAUCGAUUCAGUCUUGUUUGCUAUUCUGCCUGAUGUCGGUUCCUAUACAAACGCAAUUUAUGAGAUAUUUAUGAGAUAUUGUGUCAUAUCAGUAUGAAAAUUGUUUUGCAAUAGUUCCCUGAAAAUGUAGCGCGUAAUGGUAUUGAGAUGUUAAAAAAAAUCGAUUUUUACAAAUAUCUCGAUAAAUACACAUUUAAGAUUGUUCUAAAAUAUGCCAGCCAACCCAAUAAAAAUGAAACAGAUGACUUCCAUGUGACUGGAUAUAUAUACAGUGAAUUUUACUUAUACGAAUUACAUAGAAAUUGCUUGUGCUAACAACAUUAAGAAAAUCUUUCUACUUUUAUAUAUACAUUGCGUACAUGCUAGUUAGCAAAGGGGAUAACAUGGUACGUAUAAAGAAAACUAACCGAGACAAUGUUUUUUAUGCCUGGAAAUUUGUUUUAAAGUUAGUUACAGAAAAAUUUUUUCUAAACGAAAAAAAAAACCGCAAAAAGUGACCAAAUCCCGCUUCCAUUGAACCUGGAUUUAUAAUUCCGAUUGAACCGUACAUGUACAAAAUCUUAACAACGACAUGAUUGUAUUGAAUUUUAAAUUAAUAAACUUGAAAAUAUAUAAUAAAUUAAAAUCCAUAAAAAUAUUACGUUUGUGUAUGCUAUACCGGAUUUUUACAUAAAAAAUAAAAUUUUUUAUUUUACUGUAGGCAAAGAAUGAUUCAGCUUAUAAUUUUUGCAACUACCACCAAGUUACGAAUAUAAUGAAAUAAUAUGGCGAAGGAAUGCAAAAAAUCCGUGUUUGUGAAAUUACUACUUUUCUUGGCAAUGUAUUGUGGAUUCAUUUUUAAUUUUAAAAGCAAAGUCUGGUCGCUAACAAAUAUGUUUAUACAAUCUAUUAGAUAGGUACGGACGAUAACAACACCUAAUAUUAGAUCAUAAGGAUUCCUAUUCACUUUCUAACAAAUGAGGCAAUUUUAUGAAUAGAUCACAGCUAAUACCUUAUUGUGGAGAAAUAAUCGUAUUUUUUGCUAAAAAAAAUACGAUUAUUAUUGCAUAGAUGGGUAUCAUUGUUACGAUCCAACAAAAUAUGGAGAACAUAUUAAGUAAGAAAAGAUUAAAUAUCGCGAAGGGAUUGAACCAAGAUGUCUGAUGAAAAAUAAGCGUG